AUAUUAAUAAGCGGAGGAAAAGAAACUAACAAGGAUUCCCCUAGUAACGGCGAGUGAAGCGGGAAGAGCUCAAAUUUGUAAUCUGGCACUUUCAGUGUCCGAGUUGUAAUCUCGAGAAGUGUUUCCGCGCUGGACCGCAUACAAGUCUGUUGGAAUACAGCGUCAUAGUGGUGAGAACCCCGUAACUGAUGCGGAUGCCCAGUGCUUUGUGAUACACUUUCGAAGAGUCGAGUUGUUUGGGAAUGCAGCUCAAAAUGGGUGGUAAAUUCCAUCUAAAGCUAAAUAUUGGCGAGAGACCGAUAGCGCACAAGUA
rnacentral:rRNA from 1 species